AUGAAAAUCUGCCCGGGCCAGAGACCGGAAGAAGAGGAGCCAAGGGACCCAGAGGGGGGUGUUCAGGAAGAACUGAGGCCGCGUCCUCUAGCAGCAGGCCGAGGAGCCCUGCCCGCCGCAGCAGAGCCGCAGCCCAGCCUGAGCAUCCUGGGGCCCCACCGAGGCCCGGCAAGGAGGCCUCCCCGUCUGCGGGGCCCAGCCUGGCUCUGCGGGUCUGACCUCCGCCCCCCUUCGGCGCGCGAGGCCCCGCACCCGCCGGGAGGGAGCCGCCUGGUGGGUGCAAGGAGGUGCCCGCCCGCGUGCGUGAGAAACGCAUUCACACCCUCCCGGACGCAGGGUGCAUGUUCGCGUGCACGGACACGUACACUUUUGUCCUCAAAGGCUCCCAAACGCGCCCAGAAGUCACUCGUGAGCACUCGCGCACGUGCACACACGCACGCCCGGAGCCUGGAGCACGGCUCCCCAUCCCCACGGCACGGGCCCCGCGAGCGCUCGGCCCCGCGGGAGCCCCGCCGCGCCCCAGCCCGCCCGCGGCCCCGCACGCCACCGGCCGGGGCCCCCGCGACGCGCGCGCCCCCGCCCCCGCCCGGCCCGGUUCCGCCCGGCCCGGGUUCCGCCCGGCCCGGCCCGGCCCCAGGCCACUCACCGGCGCGCGGGCGGCUCGGCUGCCUCGGAGGAGCGGCGCGCGGGCGGCCGGAGCGGAGCGGGGCGGAGCGGGCGGAGCGGAGGGUCCCACACUCGCGGCCGCACGCCCGUCCGCCCGGUUCCGCCGCCGCCUGCGCGGGCCCGCGCGCUCCCGCCCCUCCCCGCCGCGGGCCCGCGCCGCCCCCUGCGCUCGCUCCCGCGCGGCCGCCACGCUGGCCCGGGGGCGCCCCGGGGAGACCGCAAGGCGCCCGGAGCCCCCGGGGCCGCGAGACGUCCGCGCAGCCCAGGCGCCCCCUCCCCGUUCCAAAGAUGGGGAGACUGAGGCCCAGACCCUGCCGGCGAGUCGGCGCCAGCAGACCCCCCUUCACCCCUAGUCCCCGGGCUCUAGACGCUCAGGGCUGGGGUCCGCACUCAGCGAACCGGGGACCCGCCCCCGCAUCCCUGGGUACCCCCCGACGCGGCCCCCUCCACGGCCCUGCGCGCCCUGGGUAGCCAAUCAGCUCUUAUUGCGCGCCUACUGGAUGCGGCGCACGUUUAGGAGGAAGCUCCAAGGGCAUCUCCGCCUGGUGAAGGUGCUGCCCCCUGCCCUCAAAGCGCCAGCGUCUCCUUAUAUGGAGCUCCCCAAUGCCUGUGAACCCCGAGAUAGGGAGAGUCGAGGUGCAAAGGUUUCCGGGAGAAGGCCCUACUGAGUGGGUAACACCCUCUCUAAGGAGACAGAGUCUCCAUGGGGCCCCGAAGGCUGCAGCUGGCCUCCUAAGGGAACCUGCGCGCCCCCUUCCCCCAAGAAGGGCUCCGGGCCGGCUCGCUCAGCUCCCGCCUCCUGCAUCGGCCGCUGCUCCUCCACAGGCAGGACCGUGCGGUGUCCCCCCAGGACGCCUGGAACCAGGAACUGACACUGACCACCUGCCGGCUGUCCAGCUUAGUGACAGCACCGUGCCGAGCCCGCAGAGGACCCCCCGGCGCUCCACCUGGCUGCGACCUGUGACAGUAACGACACCCGUAGGACCCCCGCCAGGUGCCAUACUCACAACCGCACAGCCAUUCUGCGAAGGAGGCGUUAUGCCACUUUCAUGCCCGUUUUACAGAUAAGAUAAAUGAGGUUUAGAACAGAAGCUGAGAGAGCCCAGUUCUCUUGCUCAAAGUCACCCAGUUGGUAAGGGUUGAGCAGGGAGCUAGACCACAGCACAGACUAACUCCAGUGCCCAGUCUCGGCAGUCCCACCUCAUAAACAACAUAGCUCUGGACUGCUGGUAUAAGAGGGCACGGGGGACAGCUGGCACAGACGGCCCAGCCCAGUCCCAGCCUUGCCGUGAACCAGCAGGGACAGAACAGGUCAUUCUACACGUUGGUUAGCGGUUUGGUCGGGGACCUACUUACAGUCUCACUUCACAUGAUACGCAUCACAACAGAUAUCAGAUAGAUUGAAGAGGUAACUCCAAGAAAUAAGCGUUUCAGAAAGUGAUAGAAAUAAAUAGAAGUUCUGAGACAGUGUGUUGCAGUGUUGCUGGCAGGCCAAUGAUUAGGGACCGUAUCAAUGCAGUAAACAUUAAUUUCCUCAUUCAAUCACCUGACACUUAUCUACGAGCACCGGCUAUGGGUCAGGUCCUAUUCUAGGCGCUGGGAUACAGUCGUGAACAAAAUAUAGCCCUGGCUCUCCUGGUGCUUCAUUCUGGGGGUGGGGUGUGUGGGGAAGCAAUUGCAAAUAUCCGGCAUGGCUGAAAUUAAUAAGCUUGGUGGAGAAAAUAAAACAGGGAGGGGAUAGGAGAGCCCAGGGGUGCUUUUUCAUACAGGGUGCUGGAAGAAGGCCUCUCUGAUGAGGUGAUGUUUGAGCAGAGGGGAAGUGAUGAGAGGUCGUCUGUAUGUAGGACAGGCCCCGGGUUCCAAGAACAGUCCUGGUAAGCUCCAGAGCAAGAACCUGAAAUUCCCCUUUGAAGGAAACUUUGAGAUCAGUGCCAGACCACCGGGAAGAGAAGCGCUGGGACCUCUGCGUAUUAGUAUAGGACUCUGCAGUUGGCGAAGUUGUGUCCCAGCCUCAUGGAGCCCCUUUAACGGGUCCUCCUAAUAUCCUCAUUUUCCAGUUAGGAAACUGAAGCUCAGAGAGGUCAAGCAACCUGCCCCAGGUCACACAGUACACAUCUCUGCGGCCGGCAAAGAUGGGUCUGACUACAGGCAAGCUGACACUAAUGCUGAGUGUUAGGGGGAAAGAGAAGGCUCGUGCAUGCCCCCUACCCCCGCCUUCCUGCCCUCUUGGACUAUAAUUCAGGAGCUGGCAGGGUGGAGCACUCACUGUUUUCCUGGCCUUUCUCCUUCUCACCCACUUCCUUCCCCUCUGGCCUGGUCCCAGCCCCAGGUGAUAUGCUGGGGGGAUAAAUCAGGUCAAAUUCAACCCAGAGAUUCUCCAAAUUCUCUGCGCUACCCCCACUACCCUGGCCAGGGUGGGAAGUAGAGGGAAAAGGGUGCAACCUAAACCCCAUUCAACUUUUGUUUUUAACUCAAAGGAUUUUUCACCGAGUCCCUAAAUGAGUCACCGUGAAGAGGUGCUUCGCAAAAUGACUCCCAGAAUUAGAAUCAACAUCUCCCUACACACGCUGCCUGACACUUCCUCCUACAGUGGCAUUUAUGAAUCUAGUCUGGGAGAAAGUCUCUCUCUGUCUACCCCCAAGAGUUUCAGGAUUAAGCCUGUGUCAUUUCAUUAUUUCUCUGCAUUAGGAGAAGAGAAGCUACUAUUGCUGGUACCUUCUCUGCACCCAGCUCUGCAUGAGGCAUUUCAUUCUCCCAGUAUCCCUCGAGAUGGGGGUCAUGCUUUCUGUUUUACAGAUGAAUAGGGUGAGGCUCAGAGUCGUAAAGUAGUUUGAACAUAGCUAGGAUUUGAACCCGGGUGUGCAGUUUGUUGUCAGUAUUUGUCAGAAGGGGACAAGAGGAGGCAUGAGAAACUAGAAAUCAGACCAGACCCUUUGGACAAAAGUUCUCCUUGCCAGCUUCCUGAUGAUGGGGACUUUUGCAGGGGGACCAAUCUCAGUUUUCCCAAGAAGUCUCAUUUCUGCUUACUGUCUGGGCAACAUUAUAAUAUUAACAGCAUCCCCAAAGUGUUGUGGUUCUGGUGAUCAACUUUAGGGUCAUCCUGGUUGUGUGCAAAGGCAGCUGCAUUGAAGCUUUCAAUUUUUACAUUAUAUUCGAUACAAAAUAGGGGCCUCUUGUCUGAGGGGCCUUCUCCACAUCCUGAUGGCUGUGUGUCCAAACAAGAGUUUAUGGAGCUUUCCAAGAGCAGCCAGCCCAGCUGGCUGGGGAAGGAGUCAGGGCUGUGCGUCAGGCAGGACUCUCUCCCUCCCACCCCAACUCUGCCAUUUACUCCCUAUGUAACUCUGGGCCAGUUUCCCAGCUGGCAAAGUGAGGGAUGGAUCUCCAAAAGCUCUGUCAACUUUGACCUUCUAGGGUUUCCCAUUGGCCAGUGAAUGCUGGGAAAUCAGCUAACCAUUUCAGUGAAGACCAGGAAUGCAGGGAGCCCUCCUCCCCUCCACACCAUCACGUGGUCCGUUUUUCAAAACAGCAUACCUCAAUUUUUAGCUAUUUUAAGUUUUAAAACGUUUAUUUCAUUUAUUAUUUGAAUAGCUGAUACCCACAGCUCAAAAUUCAAAAGGUGCCAGAAAGAUAACAUGGCAAAAAGUUUCCUUUCCUUUCCCUCCAGCUACCUCCUUCUUUUCCCUGGAGGAAACCAGCGUUGCCAAACACGCUCUGUUCCCAGACAGUGUGUUUUGCGUGUGUGUGUGUGUGUGUGUAUAGUUUCUCAUUUUUUUUUUGUACAAAUGAUGGUAUCUGGUCACACUGCUCUAUAUCUUGUGCUUUGUUCGCUUCUUGGAGACUGCUUCCUAUCGCUUCUUAAAGAGCUACUUUCUUUUUUAUGACUGCAUAGUAUUCUAAAAUAUUUGCGUUUAAUUCCCAUUAAGUUGGCACUUGCUCUGUGUACCGGUCUAAGCACUGCGGGAGAUAAUAGAAGUCUCAGCCAUGCCUCUGGCUCUCAGGGAUUUACAGUCUGGCUGAGAGAUGAGCAAAACAGUAAUUCCUAGAGUUACAAAGAAGAGCAAUUUCUCUAAUGGACCCCAAGUUCAUUUGUGAGGUGUGGCUUUGGGGCUCAUUUUUUUUUGUCUCCAGGUAUCUAGAGGGUCUAUUGAAGGAACCUAGGCAUGAGUUCUUUUGAGACUUGAAAACUCAGCAGUGCAGACUCAGGC
rnacentral:lncRNA from 1 species